rnacentral:snoRNA from 1 species
ACCCUCCCGAUUCCUUAACCCAUCAGACCUACACACUGAUCUGCGUGGUUAUAAAAGGAGGUGUGGUAGUUACAUAAUCUGUUGUCAAUUUGAGACUAGU